rnacentral:rRNA from 1 species
GACAGAGGUCCCAAGCGUUAGGCGGAAUCACUGGGCUUAAAGCGUGUGUAGGCGGAUGCCUAAGUACCUUGUGAAAUCCCACGGCUCACCCGUGGAACUGCUUGGUAUACUGGGUGUCUUGAGCCACUUAGGGGCUACCGGAACAAAUGGUGGAGCGGUGAAAUGCGUAGAUAUCAUUUGGAACGCCAAUGGUGAAAACAGGUAGCUGGGAGUGUGCCGACGCUGAGACACGAAAGCCAGGGGAGCAAACGGG